GGGCUCUGGAAGAUUUCAUGGAGAGGGUGAGAUUCUUUGUUCCGUGUCUUUCAAGAAAGCAACAUGCACCUGUUGCAUCUUUACCCUCUGAGACAUGUCGGGCAACAGCAAUGACAAAAAUGAAAGCAUAUUGGGCCGAUUUUGAUUUUGGAUUUUUUUUUUUAGUAGUGACAUAAGACCUUCUCUGUUGGGCUAAAACAGUGUCAGAAGUCCCGACCUGAAUUGACAAAAAUUGACAAAAAAUGUGUUUCAUGAAAUAGUCGAUGCAUCUUGUGGCUCAAUUUGAGGACAGUCUAAAUCCAUGAUAGCCAGUAUACUGUCACGAUUUAUCCAAUGUAAAGAUGUAAAUUCAACAAGAGCUCUUAAACGCCAAGAAACUGGUUUUAAUUCUAUAAUUUCUUUAAAUGCAUUUGAUAUGCAGUAAUUAUAGAUCCUUAAAAUGAGGGUAAAAUACGAUCAACUCUUUUAUUGGACCUCAUUCAACUGUGCAAGUGUACCUAAUGAAGUGGCCUUAUGAAGCACAGAUUCGUUUUUGGGAUUCGAGGUUGAAUUAUUUAAAAUAUUUUGAAAUUCAACCCCCCUUUUUUAUUUAUUGAUUGAUUGAUUUUUUUUUUUUAACAUUCAUAGUUUUCAAUAGUGAGUCGUCCGGAAUAGAUGAAGAAAUGACAGUUACCUUGGUAGCAAUUCGUAAGUGAUCAUAAUAAACCUCUUCAAUGGCCUGGAAGUAAAUGAGUCCUUUCAACUUGGUCUCAUGCUUGUCUGGGAGAGACGAGAAAACAAGAUACAAAAAAAAAAUGUAAAAUAAAAAAUGUGCAGUAUUCUGGGAGUCCAGACAGGGAAGUAAAUACAAAAGUAAAUGCAGAUAUUUUUGAUAGAAAGAUAGACUGAGAGAGAGACAGAGAGAGACAAAAGUUUUUUUUUUUUUUUCGAAAGACAUAAUCCAAGCAGAGUCGGGGUGAAAGUUAAUUGCAAGCACAAGUCUAUUUCAAGCUUUGCCUGGAGUCUUAAACAUCCCAUUAAUCUGACUUGUUUUCCCUUAGCCAAGCACACCCAUUGUCAAACCUAAAGACGCUCCAAGGAGGAAGCUAGACAUCUUUUUGUCAACAAAAACUGUUUUGAUAUUAAACUACUGUUCAAAUAAGCAAAAAAAUAAAAAUAAAUUUGAAUGCACGAAGAAACUGAAAAUGAGAGGAAACUUUUUGAAAUGCCCCCCUCCGCCCCCUGCCUCCCAAUCCACUAAUCAAAAGUGCUUCGUAAUGAGAUAAAUGUUUUUCAAACGCAAGUUUCACUUUAUCAGUCGCGAACAAGCCAGGAGCUAGCCUUCACCCAAGAAAAACACUUCUCAGGAAACCAUUGCAUCUUAUUUCAUCACCAUCAUCACCAUCGUCAGGAGUGAGCUGGGUGAAAAGGGCCAGACGACCUCCUCCUGUGGGCCGUCUCAUCCAGAAGCCGCCUCUCGGCCUCCUCGCGCCUCUUCCGCUCCUCCUCCAGCAGAAGCCGCCGAGUCUGCGCCUCCCUCUCCUGGGAGCGUCGAGGAGCAGAUCGGGGGGCAAAGGAGAACGCGAAACAGAGCGAGAGGGAGAAAAAGUGGGGGAAGAACAUGUUCAUGGUAGGCAAAUAUUGCGAUACAAAGUGAAUCGGAGCCACAUGAGAGUUGAAAUCCCAAUGGCGGGCUUUUGUCAUAUCCAUCCCUGAAGUCUUGUGUAUAAAGGAUUUAUGCUUUGCUGAUGUAAAAUAAUCCUUUGCUGCUUUUACAGACUUGGGGGUGAUUGUACAUUGUGUCAACAUGUGGAAACAAUUCAAAGACGCAAAAUAAAACUUACAACAGCGUUUCGCCACCUUGAGACAGCCUCUCUCGAUGGCGAAGAGUUAUCACGGGUACUUCAAAGAUGGAAGAGCAGCACGAUGGGUGAAUAACCAUCUGGAAUUGAAAACGUUUCAUUGCUUACUCGGUUCUCAAUGAGCCUGGCUUUCUCUUGCUGUGCCUCCUUCAACAUCUUCUCCAUCUCUUCUAACCUCUGGGUCUCCAACCCGGAAGCACUAGGUGGGGAAAAAGAACCCAGACAAUUCAUUGUGAUGCAAGUACCAAAGCAGAUAACACAGCUGUCCGAACUACAAUUCAAGAAACGGGACAAGAGUCUCACCUUUCCGGGGUGCAUGCUGAGUUGCUGGUGGAGAUGCUGGUCUCCAGGCUGUCUGAGCUCUCCAGGCUCAAGGUGUCAUAUGCCUGGUUGCCGCUAGGGGGACACUGAUGAUGCAGGAUCGAGUGAUGGACUGUGGGAGACGGCUCUGCGCAGAGAAAGUAUAUCAAGACUAUUGCAACACAAAGUAAAGUUGUCCAUUUCUCCUGACGAGUGUCAAAAUCGCCUUUGCCUGAAGACUGAUGGGAGUCAAAGUACCUUUAUGCAGCUUCCUGGAGUCCAUGUCCAAUGGGUUUGACACCUCUUUCAGUAUUAACUGUAAUCCCUAAGAGACGGUGAGAAGCAUUGCAGUGUGAAUAGCCAUGCGGUUCGGUUUGAACGCUGCGCUCUCACCUUGGAGGUUUUAUCACGCGUAAGAGUGGCUUGAGGCGCAGUGGGCACAGAGCUGACAGGAGGACGUGAUGCCGUGUGACCAACUUCACCGUCCGAUUUGGACUUCAGCAACUGAAAGGACAAAAGCUGCUUUGGUCACACAAUGAGGAAGAGCUCACAAAUACGUUACAGCGGAGAAGAACCACCUAUAUAUUUAAAUAGAUAUACUUUUAUUCUUGUUGUAAAAAAAAUGUCUUCUCCCAUGCUGUGAUGUCUGAUUUAUGUGAGGAUACACAAUCAUAUCAGGUAAUUUAAUUGGCCCUAAGCAAAGGUCAGAAGGAGUCAAUUGUUCUAGUAUGUUUGUUUUUUUGGAACACGUGCUUCCCAUUUGAAGGGUUGCAUUUUUUUUUCAGGACACAAUAUUCUCCGGGCAGUAGGCGGGGGACACCCUGAAUCGGUUGCCAGCCAAUCGCAGGGCACUCAUGGACGAACAACCAUCCACGCUCACACUCACACCUAGGGACAAUUUAGAGCGUUCAAUCAGCCUGCCACGCAUGUUUUUGGAAUGUGGGAGGAAACCGGAGCACCCGGAGAAAACCCACGCAGGCCCGGGGAGAACAUGCAAACUCCACACAGGGAGGCCGGAGCUGGAAUCGAACCCGGUACCUCUGCACUGUGAAGCCGACGUGCUAACCACUGGACUACCGGGCCGCCCAUGUUCAAAAAUAUUCCACCCAAAAUCUCUUAUAACAACAGUCUCACGAAAAUCGAAUAAUUUAUUGGACAAAGUCACGACAACAAUCGCUGACAAUAACAGAAACUCAUUUUUGCAGGAUUAAAAUAAUGAUUGUCAAUGCA